rnacentral:rRNA from 1 species
UACGUAGGGUGCAAGCGUUGUCCGGAAUGACUGGGCGUAAAGAGUUCGUAGGCGGUUUGUCGAGUCGUCUGUGAAAACCAGCAGCUCAACUGCUGGCUUGCGGGCGAUACGGGCAGACUUGAGUACUGCAGGGGAGACUGGAAUUCCCGGUGUAGCGGUGAAAUGCGCAGAUAUCGGGAGGAACACCGGUGGCGAAGGCGGGUCUCUGGGCAGUAACUGACGCUGAGGAACGAAAGCGUGGGUAGUGAAUAGG